GUCACUGCCGGGCGGGCCGGGGGUGGGGGGUGUGCCUGGGUCUCGAGCAUGUGUCCGUGUGUGUGGGCAUCGACAUAGGGGGCCUCCCCCUUGUGGGUGGGGUGUGGGAGCAUCCUUCACACUUCCCCUUGUCUGUGUGAUCCAGACUACCCUCCUGGUCCUGAUGAGCUCUGGGUGCGGUCCCCAAGCAGAGGAGACAGACUCCCAGGCUUGUUGCCUAGAAACGCUCGCUGAAUGUCACAGGUUGCCUCUCCAUGUGGUCUCUGCUGGCAUGGUACUAAGCCAUUCUCAGAGUGACAGUCCCCCAGUCAUGGGUAUAGCUGUUUCUUCCCUGUGUCAUUUGAGGUUUGUCUGGUUCAGAUCAUCCCUGAAGGUCUUGACUGUGGAUUGGGCUUCACAGAAGGACCAGGUUAUUUUCCAGGGCCUGUUCCCACUGAGUUCCAGGCGGAAUGGCUGAGUAUAGAAUCCCAGAUGGAAGACCUUGAUUAACAGCCCCAAACCACGUGGGGCCUGGACUCAGGCACCGCUUGAUGAUCUGGUCAGAGACCCAGAGCUCAGGAAGGUCCUGGAUGUCUUGAGGAAGCAGCAGUGGUUUGGGCUGCGUGUGAUUCCCUCCGCGCCCCCCGCCCCCCGCCCCCGGGACAGUGGAGGAAUACUGCAGUGAGUACCCUUGUUCCUUGUCUAAGGCUGUCGGUGUGUCCCCUUUGUUCCCUUCAGGCUUAUGGGGACGUUGGGCAGCCACACCCUAAAGCCAUGGCUGACGCCAGCAUUCAGGGAAACCAUAAGCAAUGCCAGGAGUCCCAGUGUCCUCGGUUAGGCCACAUGUAAUGCCACCGACAGGACAAAGCGACAGUUCUCUGCUUGGGGCUGGGGUCACGGAGGGCCUUAGAAGCCGCAGUACGUGAGGCAGAGUGGCCGAGCAGGCUGAGCCUGCACUUGAGUGGCCUCCAGGGGACACAGGGCCUGGGGUCCCUGCUGCUCACUGCUUGGGGGCUUGGGCAGCAGAGGCCCCUCCAGCCUCGGCCAUUUUGGCCUUGAAGUAGCCUUUGUGGGAAGGUGAUCGCUGUUCAUCAGAUGGGAGAGGAGACGUGGCGUCUGAGGGGAGAGGAAUCGGCUCUUCUGAUACCUGCCGAAGGAGAGCAGAGGGAGAAGGAACUGGCACUUGGAAAUGGAGAGGCGUGACCUGUUCACGAACAGGCAGCAGGCGGCCUCUGGAGAGGAAAGGGCACGGAGCCAGCCUCUCGUCCUGGGUGCGGGGAUCCAAGGCCUGCCGAGGCCAGCUUCCCUGACGCCGCUGGCUAUGCGCCACCCGCCUCCCGCACGGCGGUGAGAAACCGCCUCCGGGGGCCCCCUCGCCCAGGGGUGCAGCAGAAUCCGAAAACAGCCUGAGCCAGUGACUGAGGUUCUGAGGAGACCACGAAACCGCCUUCCCUGGGGACAGGAGGGCCCCGAUCUCGGCUCUGGGACGUCGAGGAUGGUGGGGCAAGCGGGGAAUGCCUCGGGGUUUGCCGAGGAGUUGGCAGAGCCGGAAGCCAAGGCUGCGAGGAGCCCUGCCGGGUGGGUGUCUUCCGGCCACUGCCGGCGAUUCUGCUGGCCUGGGGCCCGGCCAGGAGGUGGUGGCAGCCCAGCCGGCGCACCCCUUCAGUGCCCGCGGGUCUCCAGGCAGGCCGGCCCCGCUGUUGGAGCAUCUGCGGCGUGCGGCUGAGAGCAGGGUCCCCUGGGCUUUCAGGAGGCGGCCGGGCUGGCACUCCCAGACCCACGUUUCUCUCUGUCCUGCUGACCCAGGAGGAGGGGCAGAGACCUGUGUCUUUCCCCGGAUCCUGAGCACAGGCCGCUGCUGGCCUGCAUGUGCCGCCUCCAGGGCCCGCUGCCCGCUUGCCGGCCCGGGCUCGAUGCCGCGGCUCUCCUGCAGCCGACCCCUCCGGUGCUGCUUCUGGCCGCUCAGGUCAGGCAGGCCUCAAGCCUGGCCAUCGGGCCCUGGCCGGCAGGGCAGCUCCAGGACGGGCCCUCUCUGGGGAGAAGGUUCUCGGCCAUCCUGACAGAGCGCAGGACUCUGUUCCUGCUGGAUGUGGUCAUCUCCUUUGGGAGCCUUCCAGCUCCAGGGGGGAGGCGGGAAGCUGAGUCCUGCAUGCUCAUCCCACCGGGGGUGGCAGAUGGGGCUCUGGGACGCGCGGAUGCAGGGAAGGGCUGCAGCCUCUGCUGAUAAAGCCCCCUUCAGCCAGCCGUGCUUCCUCCCUUCAUGUCCGUUACCCCGGCUGCCCACCCUGAAGAGCCCGCCCACGAGCCACCUCUGCUGUCAAGGCCUCCCGAGAGCCCCGACCCCAUGCCGCCUUGAGUGGUGGCCACAGCUGCUGGCUACCUCUGUGCCCGGGGGCGUCACCGGGGUGCUCUGUGCACACUGCAGGGGCUCACCGUGGGUGACGAUGAUGGGGACAAAGAAAAGCCCAUUGCAGAGAUUGGAGUCUGGACCAGAUAGCAAUCAAGCCAGACCUGGAGGAGGGCAAGGGUGGCCCUGGGAGGCCCAGGGCGACGGCAGUGUGUACCCAGUUCUGAGUUGCACCUGCCGGUCUGGCUGCUCAGCCCAGCCUGUGGCUGCCUUGAGGCACUAAGGGACUUCCUUGUUGCUUUCUUCUGUGGCUUCUGGUGUUCUCUGUGGCUUCUGCCUUCCUGGGCUGCCCUGCCCUCCCUGCCCUGCCUUUCCCCACUACUGCUUGUGCCUGCUGCUGGCCUUCAGGUGGGGGUGCUCCUUGGUUACCAUGCAACCAGUGACUUUCUCCCUGCUCAGUGACUUUCUCCCUGCAGGCGGAAAGAGGGACUGGGGGAGUUGGGAGUUGUGUGUAUGUGGGGGUGCAGAUUGAGAUGGGAGAUGGCCAGCAUGGCCUGAUAGGGGUGAAGCAGGGGACAGUGACAGGUGCGCCACCUCCUCCUGGGUCUUCACUGGCAAGAUUGCCAAGUGCUCAGAGCUUCCGGAGUGUUUAAUUUCAGACAGACUUGGCUUCUUUCUGCAGACUAGGGGCUGAAAUAGACGAGGGCCUGUGUGCAGCCAGUGUGGAUCCUGCUUCUUGUGGGGACUCUUCCUGUUCCGUAGCCACGAAUCACAGCUUUUUAUGAAUUGGUCUAUUUAAAAUGCUUUCACGCCACUCCUUAAAGAGGAGCCCUGUGUCACAUUCGAUCAUAAUGCAACAGUUCUCCACCAAUAGGCGGCUUCAUCAGUCCCGUAAACUUGAGCUUUUGAGUUUUCAGGAAGGUCACGCCAGCAAAUCCUUAUUAAUGCUUAAGAUUUAAGACACGACUAAAGAGUUACUGCUGUUUCCCUAAGUGUCCAAGUAUGGGAUGGUUUUUGUGUACUUCAUUUCAAAAUUGUGAAAUCUUUGGUGUUUGAAGCAGAGGGAGAGGGUUUCUUAGCCCCUUGGGCUUGGCUGAGAAGUCACUUCAAGCACGUCACCUCACGUCAGCUGAGAUCCGUUCCGUCGUACUUCCCUUCUGUGACACGGUUUUAAUUCUGUUGUUUAAAAGUAUCUCAGGCAUCGAAGCCUUUGCUAAGAUAUAUAUAUUCUUAAAAAGGUAAAAGCAUAAUUGAUAAAUAACAUUUGGAAUGUUUUAGAUUUAUAUUUAUUUACAUUUAUAUAUUUAACUCCCUAAUUAAGGAGGAGACUAGUAAGCUGUUGUAAUUAUUUCAGAGGAGAAUUAAAACAGAAUCAGGGAUGCGGACAUGAAUUUGCAAGCAUGCAGAAUCGGUCAGUAUUUACAGGGUGAUCGCUCACGGAACCCCUCUCCACUGGGGUGCAAUUUGUCGUAACUUCCAGGAUAAGAGUCCUCUGUAGUACUGCCUGGGUUCUAAUAAGUACAGGGUUGUAAAACGGCUCCAAGACAGUGAGAGCCCAAGGUGACCUGGAAGGGCACUCUAGCCAGGACACCCAGCAGGUUUUGAUGCUCAUUUGAGUCUUUCACCAUUUUCCCUGACACUUAAAAAAAAAAAAAAAAAAAAAAUCCUUCUUACAAGUAAGUGCAUAAAUAAGCUCUCUCAGGGCCGACUGGCUAUUGACUGGAGGGGAAGGGAGGGCAUCAGCUGCCCCAAGCUAAAGGCAUGGUGGUGCCUCCUGCUGGCGUCUGAGGGAGUGACCCCUGAGCUGGGGACCCUCUGGGCUCCUCCCCGGUGCUAGCCCGGCCUCGCCCUGCCUCUCCAGUUCAUCUGGUAACACGAGUGUGAGUUGUCACUAGAAGACGGGAAAGAACUGGCGAGUUGGUUACGUGGCCAAAACCGUCGUUUGUUUCCUUCCUCCUCUCUCCUCAAGGCAGGCCUUGUUCUGCUACUUUCUUUACGUGAGGGACGAAAGGACCAUGAUCUCCAUGUGUCAGGGAAUGCGCCUUUCAGCUGCCCCAUCGACGGCCCCUGAUUGUUGGUUAUAAACUCAUUUUUAUUGAAAUGUGCCCACCAGAAUUUCCUGCCAGAAUGCUGAUGGGCGUCCUGGUCACGCAUGUCUGUGAACCUCAGAAUCUGAUCCGAAUGACUUUAUAUUCAUGUGUUUAAAUGGAAAGUUUGCCCUUCUGGAUCCUAGAUUCUUUUGUGCCCCCCUGGCUAAUGCAGGGUAUUUGGGAAAAGGCCAACAAGCUGACGUGGGGAUUGCCUGGCCCUUCCGAUGCGGUCAGGCCUGGUUGUGCUAACUAGGUCUCCCCAUUCCUCGAUGUCCCUGCGGGUGCUGUUGGCCCAUUUGUGUGCCCAUCAGCCCCUGCGCCAAGGCAGGAGCCAAGGAGCCCACAGUGGCUACUUCGUGCCAGGAGCCCUGAGCAGAAGGAAGUGGACAUCGAUUGGAAUCAGAGAAUAUUUCACUUUUCUCUGAUUUUUGCUUUUCCUUGUUUUCCUUCCCAGGCAUUGCCAUGGGAGGCUUGGCGGUUUCCUCUCACCUGACCAGACUUUUCCGAAACAGCUUAACAGAGAAAAGCGCUCCUCUUCUAGUUGGAAUUUAGUCUAAUCUUAGUCUGUCCACUGAUUUUCUCAAAGAAUUUUUUUUUUUUUUUAAGAUUUUAUUUGUUUGACAGAGACACAGCGAGAGAGGGAACACAAGCAGGGGGAGUGGGAGAGAGAGAAGCAGGCUUCCCGCAGAGCAGGGAGCCCAAUGCGGGGCUCGAUCCCAGGACCCUGGGAUCAUGACCUGAGCCAAAGGCAGAGGCUUAACAACUGAGCCACCCAGGUGCCCCACAGAGAGUAUUUUUAAAAGUGAUAUAAGAAAUACCCCAGGGCGCCUGGGUGGCUCAGUUGGUUAAGCGACUGCCUUCGGCUCGGGUCAUGAUCCUGGAGUCCCUGGAUCGAGUCCCGUAUCGGGCUCCCUGCUCAGCAGAGAGUCUGCUUCUCCCUCUGACUCUGCCCUGUCUUGUGCUCUCUCUCAUUCUCUCUCUCAAAUAAAUAAAUAAUCUUAAAAAAAAAAAAAA